GGGUUAAGUCCCGCAACGAGCGCAACCCUCGCCUUUAGUUGCCAGCAUUCAGUUGGCACUCUAAAGGGACUGCCGGUGUCAAACCGGAGGAAGGUGGGGAUGACGUCAAGUCCUCAUGGCCUUUAUGUCUAGGGCUACACACGUACUACAAUGGCAGGUACAAAGGGCGGCGACACAGCGAUGUGAUGCGAAUCCCGAAAAGCCUGUCUCAGUCCGGAUCGGAGUCUGCAACUCGACUCCGUGAAGUUGGAAUCGCUAGUAAUCGUGGAUCAGCAUGCCACGGUGAAUACGUUCCCGAGCCUU
rnacentral:rRNA from 1 species